rnacentral:lncRNA from 1 species
UGAAAGUUUCAUGUAGGAUUUCUUAUGUAGAAAUGAAGAAAAGAAAGCUAAACCUAUAAGAGAUUUGUGAUUUCAUUUAUGCACAAUAUUAUUUUUCUUUGAAUAGGGAAAUGCUUGUUUUAUUUAGUUUUGUAAAAUUUGGAAUUAAAAAAUUAAAAUAAAAUGUUGGAGAGGGGGAGAAUAAGAGACAGAGGCAGAGAUUAAUACUGUGUGAUUGAAUUUUCUUCUCAUCCUUUCUGCAAUGUUCUUGGCCUAGACUAUAGUUGCUAAGCAUAGUAUUCUUUGUAAUAUUAUUCAUUAGGCAAAGGAUUGGUUAUCAAAGUGUAGUGCUGGGACUCCUGGAAUACCUGAGACUUUUACACGGAAGUCUAUAAAGUCAAAACUAUUUUCAUAAUAAUCCUGACUUAUUCUAAUAUGUUUGGAGAAUCACAAGGACAUUGACAAACUAUGGUGCACGCAGAAGAGGUGUACCAAGAUGAUGAAAGACUGGAAAUCACACCCUUGGGACAGAUUAAAGGAACCAGGGAUGUUUAACCUGGAGAAAUGAAAACAUAUGGGGCAUGAGUCCUAAUAGAAAAAUGCGAAGGAAUGUGCACUUGGGAGGAGAAAGACCAGGAAGAAAAAGGGGGAUGGAAAGAGGAAGAAGGAGGAGUUGUGGAGUGAAGAGAAAGGAGACCUAAGAAGAAGAAAAGGACAGUUUUCUGCUCCUCUGAUCACUAGGGAGAGAGAGGCUGAACCGAGAAAAGGCACUCCAAAUCCAGACUGGGAAGCCAACGCUCCUCCUCCAACACCAGGAAGGAAGUCAGGAAAGGAAGGCAGGAAGGAAGUGCUAGUCACAAGACCCAACUGCCACUCCCAGUUGCCCCUUCCCCCACCAACUGUAAGUCUUGACAAUUUCUUCUCCUUUGAUAUUCCCACUGUUGUUUGUUCAAACACAGUGGCAGAAAGUUCAGAACUUAUUACUAGUUUCCUUUCCACAAGAGAAAGCCUCUAAUCUUCAAGGACCUCUAUAGUUGCUCUGGUCUUAAGCUAAUGAACUAUUAUCACAUUAGUGAGAUUCCAUUCCAAGCAUUGUCUUCGUUAUGAAAGUGUCUAAUUCGCAAGGUUGUUUAGAAAUAUUCCUGAGAUAAUGAUGCAGGUCCUCUUAAUACCCUUUGUGGCUCCAUGAUUGUAUUGUUUUAGCCAGUGAUGAAAUGCAACUCUAUAUACAUUGUGUAAUUAGAAAACCUUGAACCCUCGGACUCCAUCUUCCAGAAUUCUAUUUCUCGUCCCAAAAUUCCUUUUCUCUUCAUGGUCACCAUAAAUGUAAGCUUAAAAUUAAUAUAUGAUAACUCCAAGUAUCAUAUUUAAUGAAGUUUAUUAAUAAUAACUUGAAGUAAAAGGAAUAAAAAGACAAAAUUAAAAGCCUGAUUAGAACCA